AGAGUUUGAUCAUGGCUCAGAUUGAACGCUGGCGGUAUGCUUUACACAUGCAAGUCGAACGGCAGCACGGGGCAACCUGGUGGCGAGUGGCGAACGGGUGAGUAACAUAUCGGAACAUGUCCGGAAGUGGGGGAUAACGUACCGAAAGGUACGCUAAUACCGCAUAUGCCCUGAGGGGGAAAGGGGGGGAUCGCAAGACCUCUCGCUUUCGGAGUGGCCGAUAUCGGAUUAGCUAGAUGGUGAGGUAAAGGCUCACCAUGGCGACGAUCCGUAGCUGGUCUGAGAGGACGACCAGCCACACUGGAACUGAGACACGGUCCAGACUCCUACGAGAGGCAGCAGUGGGGAAUUUUGGACAAUGGGCGCAAGCCUGAUCCAGCCAUACCGCGUGAGUGAAGAAGGCCUUCGGGUUGUAAAGCUCUUUCAGACGGAAAGAAAUCGUGCAGAUUAAUACUCUGUAUGGAUGACGGUACCGUAAGAAGAAGCACCGGCUAACUACGUGCCAGCAGCCGCGGUAAUACGUAGGGUGCGAGCGUUAAUCGGAAUUACUGGGCGUAAAGCGUGCGCAGGCGGUUUUGUAAGACAGGUGUGAAAUCCCCGGGCUUAACCUGGGAACUGCAUUUGUGACUGCAAGGCUAGAGUACGGCAGAGGGGGGUAGAAUUCCACGUGUAGCAGUGAAAUGCGUAGAUAUGUGGAGGAAUACCGAUGGCGAAGGC
rnacentral:rRNA from 1 species